rnacentral:rRNA from 1 species
AGAGUUUGAUUAUGGCUCAGGAUGAACGCUGGCGGCAUGCCUAAUACAUGCAAGUCGAACGAAGUUUUUAGGAAAGCUUGCUUUCCAAAAAGACUUAGUGGCGAACGGGUGAGUAACACGUAGAUAACCUGCCCAUGUGCCCGGGAUAACUGCUGGAAACGGUAGCUAAAACCGGAUAGGUGGCUUCGAGGCAUCUCGGAGACAUUAAAAUGGCUACGGCCAUGAACAUGGAUGGAUCUGCGGCGCAUUAGCUAGUUGGUGAGGUAACGGCCCACCAAGGCGACGAUGCGUAGCCGACCUGAGAGGGUGAACGGCCACAUUGGGACUGAGACACGGCCCAA